rnacentral:rRNA from 1 species
CCUACGGGAGGCUGCAGUGGGGAAUAUUGGACAAUGGGCGAAAGCCUGAUCCAGCCAUGCCGCGUGUGUGAAGAAGGCCUUCGGGUUGUAAAGCACUUUCAGUGGGGAAGAAAGCCUUGGGGCUAAUACCCUCGAGGAAGGACAUCACCCACAGAAGAAGCACCGGCUAACUCCGUGCCAGCAGCCGCGGUAAUACGGAGGGUGCGAGCGUUAAUCGGAAUUACUGGGCGUAAAGCGCGCGUAGGCGGUCUGAUAAGCCGGUUGUGAAAGCCCCGGGCUCAACCUGGGAACGGCAUCCGGAACUGUCAGGCUAGAGUGCAGGAGAGGAAGGUAGAAUUCCCGGUGUAGCGGUGAAAUGCGUAGAGAUCGGGAGGAAUACCAGUGGCGAAGGCGGCCUUCUGGACUGACACUGACGCUGAGGUGCGAAAGCGUGGGUAGCAAACAGGAUUAGAUACCCUGGCAGUC